rnacentral:rRNA from 1 species
AUUAGAUGAGCCUAUAUUAGAUUAGCUAGUUGGUGGAGUAAUAGCCUACCAAGGCAAUGAUCUAUAGCUGAUCUGAGAGGAUGAUCAGCCACACUGGAACUGAGAUACGGUCCAGACUCCUACGGGAGGCAGCAGUGGGGAAUAUUGGACAAUGGGCGAAAGCCUGAUCCAGCCAUGCCGCAUGAGUGAAGAAGGCCUUUGGGUUGUAAAGCUCUUUUAGUGAGGAAGAUAAUGACGGUACUCACAGAAGAAGUCCUGGCUAACUCCGUGCCAGCAGCCGCGGUAAUACGGAGAGGGUUAGCGUUAUUCGGAAUUAUUGGGCGUAAAGGGCGCGUAGGCUGAUUAAUAAGUUAAAAGUGAAAUCCCGAGGCUUAACCUUGGAAUUGCUUUUAAAACUAUUAAUCUAGAGAUUGAAAGAGGAUAGAGGAAUUCCUGAUGUAGAGGUAAAAUUCGUAAAUAUUAGGAGGAACACCAGUGGCGAAGGCGUCUAUCUGGCUCAAAUCUGACGCUGAAGCGCGAAGGCGUGGGGAGCAAACAGGAUUAGAUACCCUGGUAGUCCACGCUAUAAACGAUGAAUGUUAAAUAUGGGAAG